ensembl:lncRNA
GGCCAAGGCGGGCUGGGGAAGCGAGAUGUACCAGGGUGCAGCCCCAGGGAUCAGAGGACGGGACGGACGAGGCACCAACAGCGUACGGCCACGUAGGCCCCUGUGGCCAAGACGCGGCAAGAGGUACAGAACCGACGGUGGAGGUGGGGCGGCCGCGAGCGACAGAGAGGGGCCCGGAAGCCAUUCCCAACGACCCGGAAGUGAGGCAGCUUCCGCGUCACGCCACGGAAUCUCACUGCCAGGAGCCUCCAGCACAGGAGCGGUCCCCCGGCACCCCGGACGUCUCCUGCCUUUCCUGGCCCCCAUGGGCCCCCCUCUUGGGGCUCGCGCCCACCACCACCAGCACCCAGAGCCACAGCUGGCCCCGGAGAACUCUCUCGCCGAGUACUGUCGCCUCCACGGCCCUCACAGGCAACUUGCUCUGCCCAGCUUCCCCCCUCAGGGACUGAGGGCGCUUCUCUGCCCAGAGAUGCCACCAGCCAUGGAGGCCAGGGAAGGACACCCACACGAGGCGAGGGCGGUUAGGUCCUAAACAGGGUAUACUACAGAUUUACAAUCCAAACACUAACAGAGAUGAAUUUCAGGUGUUGAGAGCAGUCACCACCUUUUGGUAAUUUUUUUUUUCUUUUAUGUUUUAUUCAUCCUGUUGAGUAUGUAAUGGGUCCUAAUUUUCUUGAAUACGUAUUUUUCCUGAGGACUAAUGAUAUUAUGCAAGCAAGAAUAUUGGCAUGGGUUGCCAUUUCCUCCUCCAAGGGAUCUUCCCAACCCAGUAAUAGAACCUGUGUCCCCUGUCUCCUGCUUGGCAGGUGGAUCAUUGUGACCUGGGAAGCCUUUAGUAUGAGGGCACAGAAUGCUUACUUUCUGGUCUCCAUCUUGAAUUCCUUAAAGGAUGUGUUGAAGCUCAGUGACUGAGUGGCUCCUGACUUAAUGAGUGGCUCCUGACUUAAUUCUUGUAGAACUGAUACUGAAAACUGGUUCCCCUGUGCCAAAUCAAAUCUUGGAGAAGAGUUUUGGGUGAGGUAGAAAAUACUAGGUUUAUGGCUUUGCCAGGCAAAGGGGGACACAGGAGUUCAUGCCCUCAAAAUUCUGUGUCCCCAGAAAUUGUGAGAUAAUAAAUAUUUGUUGCUUUAAGUCACUGAAUGGUAGCAAUAGGCAACUAAUACAAUAUUCACGUUACCCCAUUGUUACAAUAAAAAUAAAACAACUCUGUGUCC